UAACUGGUCCAUGACAUUUGGAAGUGGAGCACAAGCGUUCAUCCGGUUUGUGUGCUGGCUGGAAAGUCUCCACAGCAUGUCAAAACGCGAGCGCCGUGCGCUGUGCAUGUGUGGUUAUGUAUGUGUGCUGCGCGCGAGCAGAGGACAACAGGCGACGGCGGAUACACUUCGCUUGGCCAACAUCCAGUGGCUGGCAGUCGUGCGUAUUCAUUCAAGUUUGCUGGACCACAGCGGGAACCAAGAUAACACAAAGGCAAAGUGAUCAAAUUAAAAUUAAAUAGAUUGCAUUGAAUGAAAACGUUGAAAGAAACUUUAUUAUAGUGCUGUAAGCAGAUAAGGUGUGUAUCGUGAAAUGUACGAAAAGCACACAAAACGGAAGUGAAAAUUAAAUUCCUCAAUUAUGCGAAGGUGUGUGAGUACGCGUGACCAAAUGCAAGUGUGUUUUCGAUGCUUCCCAUUCCCGGCAGCCAUUGUGUUAGACGUUUGACAUUCGCUGCGAAAAGUAUGCGAAUUAAAGUGCUGCGUUGAAAUUGUAAAAGUUUGUGAAAAAUUGUGAACUAUAAACCAGCAAUAUCGACUGCACAGCAUUCCGCCCACUCGCAACCCACCCGCGUGCCAGUGUGAGCAUUCAAGCGCAUAAAAUCUCGUACCUGUAGUUUGCCCCAAUAAUCGGUAGCCGCAGCACAGGUGUGUAGCGAUGCGAAAUCCUUAUUAAUUGCACACAUAUUACAACAGCGAACCACAAUGCGUACAGCUAUAACAAUAAACACAACAAUAGAAACACCAAUAACAUACAGUUGAAACUAUUUUAAGAAGAACAAAUAACUGCAGGUGAAAUUGAUUGCACUCGUUGGCUUAACGAACACAUUUGCUGCCAAUGCUGCAUAGUUGUCGUUGUUGCCACAAUACUACACAAGUGCAUAAAUGUGUGCGAAAUUCUCUUCUACCUCCCAGUGCGUGACUUGUGAGAUUUGGGUGUGCAGCCAGAAAAUUGCUGCGUCGAAUGGGAUUUGGUGUGUGAAUUGAAAAAAUUGCAGCACUCGCAAUAAGCAAGUGAAAUACUAUAAAAGCGAGGAAAAAAUAAACAAGUGCGAAACUUCAUGUAUGUACAUGAAGUUAAGUGAGCAAGAAAUCGGUGUAAGAAAAAAGUUAGGUUAUGUGUAGUGCAUAUACACAGCGAAAACAGGAAUUGAAUCAAUGAAGUGAACACUGGUGCGAAUGAGUAAAUUGGCAAAGAAAAAAACAAAAGCGUUUAAAAUAGAGUUAAGCGAAGCAACUGCGAAUAUUGAAAGCGUGAAAAGUGCAAAAAGUCGUAGCAUAAUACAAUACUAGUGCAACUAAAGCGGGUGUGGGUGACGAGAGAGGCAGUUAAACGUUUUCUAUACGCUUCCGGUGCGGUGGACCCUUUACUUUGCAGCCAUUUUUCUCCUUCCUGCCCUCGCAUAGACACCUGCCGCUACGCCUCCCGCUGUGUUUGUGCGCUGCAAUGGGUGCAAUGCCAUUAAAAUGCAUGAAUUGGCAUAAACAAAGGGUCUGUAGCUGGUGAGUUGCAAAAACAAAAGGUAUGAGAAUAAAAACAAAAACAGCAACUAUGAUACAUAUGUAAGUAUUUUGUAAGGGGGCAGUGUGUACAAGUGUAAGUGAUUUACAUAUAUAUUUGCGGCAUCUGCGACUGCUGCGAACAGCAGUAAAAAAAGUGUGAAAAAUUUGCAGAGAAGGCAAAAAUCGCAUAAUUAUGUGAAGCUACUGAAGCUUAGAAAACAAAAGAAAGUGGGAAUGAGAGAAAUGAAAACGGAAAUAGCUCUGUGUGUAUCUAGCGGCAGCAUUAUGAAGUAGUCAUUGUAAGGAAA
rnacentral:lncRNA from 1 species